rnacentral:rRNA from 1 species
CCAUACCACCCUGAACGCACCGAUCUUGCCUGAUCCUGGAGGCUGAGCAGGGCCAGGCCUGGGUGGUACUUGGGUGGGAGCCCGUUUUCCUAUUUGUUCCUUUUACCCACAGGCGAAGACCUAGUG